rnacentral:tRNA from 1 species
GCCGGCGUAGCUCAGUGGCUUAGAGCACCUGACUGUGGAUCAGGGGGUCAUGGGUUCGAUUCCCAUCGCCGGUGCCA